UAGCUCAGUUGGCAGAGCGCAAGGCUCUUAACCUUAAGGUUGUGGGUUCGAGCCCCAC
rnacentral:tRNA from 1 species